AACGAACGCUGGCGGCGUGCCUAACACAUGCAAGUCGAGCGAGAAAGUCCCGGCAACGGGAUGAGUACAGCGGCGAACGGGUGAGUAACGCGUGGGUAAUCUACCCUCCAGCUCGGGAUAACCUGCCGAAAGGUGGGCUAAUACCGGAUGCUGUUCCCGUGGGGAACCUGCAGGAAGCAAAGGGGGCGAGCGUAAGCAGCUCUCACUGGACGAGGAGCAUGCGUCCGAUUAGCUAGUUGGUGGGGUAAUGGCCUACCAAGGCGACGAUCGGUAGCCGGCCUGAGAGGGCGACCGGCUACACUGGAACUGAGACACGGUCCAGACUCCUACGGGAGGCAGCAGUGGGGAAUCUUGCGCAAUGGGCGAAAGCCUGACGCAGCGACGCCGCGUGGGCGAUGAAGGCCUUCGGGUCGUAAAGCCCUGUCGGGUGGGACGAAUCUCCUGGUGGCGAAUAACCACCGGGCUUGACGGUACCACCGAAGGAAGCCCCGGCUAACUACGUGCCAGCCGCCGCAGUAA
rnacentral:rRNA from 1 species